rnacentral:lncRNA from 1 species
AUUCUGAAUAAGCCCCGUUCGGAUUAACAAGCAGAGGCUGCGUGCACACAGCAGACCCGUGGGUGCUGCAAGCCUUGCUGCGAUGCAGGCAGCAGAUGACAGCUGCAGGGCUGUGCGGCUACGGGGCUGCGGGGAUGAUGCAGGCAGAGCAGCGGGCAGCAGUGCUGGGGGCACACAGCCCUGUGACGUUGCCUUUCUGUGGGGGAAUGCCACCGGAGCAGCCAUUCCGGCAGCAUUAGGGCUGUGGUGGCUCCCAGGAUUACCCACGCACAGCCCUCCCAUCCCCGGCAGAAUCGCUGUGCCCAAACACAAUAGGAGCCUGGAAGAAAGCAACGGCCUCGACAAUGAGUUUCUCUGCUUUUAUAGGUUUUAGUGGAGCCCAUUGUGCUGUUUUAACACCCUUUUUUGUAUUUCGAUUCCUAAUAUCUUUGACUGGGGGAAGGGUGGAGAGGGCACCGAUUUAAUUCGAUAAUCCCCCUAAGCCUUGCUUAAUGCACUCACUCUAUUUUGUGCCUGUGAAUUUUAUAGUGGUAUUUGGGGUGGUUGCAGCACUGCACUGGAAUACGUCCCACCAUUUAUUUUGCAGCCAUUGGAGGGAAAUGGCUCGCAGUGCUGAGCAGCCUAUUCACUGCGCUCACAUUGUCAAACCCAACAAACCGUCAGCCCAGAUGUGGUCGGAUCCCGGGGCUGCAGCAGGGAUGUGGGGAAGGGAGUUCAGAGUCCGCUGCAAAUUGCUCAAAUGAAUAUCUAACCACGAGCAGAAGGCUUCCUCCCUCUGCCAAAAUUCUGAGCUGGAUUUGGGUUGUGAGAACAGCUCAAGGCUCCUUCUGAAGGGUACCAAGACAGACAAGUCUUUGGGCUCCCAAAACUUCAUGGCUGUGCCAUGAGCAAUUUGCUCCUAGCAGGAACAUGAGGUGGUGCUGAGCCAUCCUGGGAGCAUCUCAGAAGGCUACAGCAGAGACAAAAAGUGCCAACGUAAGGGUCAGAAUGUCUGGGGCAGCUGGCAUGCAGCAGCAACAAAGCUAAGAUGAGAAGAAGGGGUUUGGAAGAGGUCAGGAUCAGAAAGACGGUGUCUGUAGGGAACCGGGUCAUCCAAAGAGGAGAAAAGAACAAAGGAAGAAAAAAUAUUAAGAGGCUGAGAUCUACCACAUUGACAGAGAAGACAGGAAGGUGUCCACAGACAUCUCAGAGAGAGGAGGAGACCUCAGCAGGAACAUGGCAGGGCUCCUGUAGUUUAGCAAACUGCCCAAGAAUGUGCAGAAUAAAAAGCUGCUUUUCCUUUUUUCACCUAUAGCCUGUGCAACUGCCUUCCUCAUUUCUUACAGCCCAGCAGUAAGGAUGUAAUGCCUCAUGAAAAUAAAUAUGGAUGGCUGGAAUUGUGUCUGUAAGGCUCCCAUUUGCCUUUCACAGCCUCAGCCCACAUCUUUCAGCCUUCCAUGCAAUUUCUCAUCAAACACCAGGACAGUACUCAGCCGCACAGAGCUCAUGGAUCUCAUAAACUCUACAGAAAAGCUUUCUUUAUUGGCAUAAAAGACACAACAGGAUAAGUAUUUGGAGGUGUUGAAAAACACUUCACCAGACAUUAAAUUAUAUUAUUUAUUCUAUCAAGAAAAGCUCUAAGGGACAUCCCAAAAAUGUGAGCCGUCUUCCAAUGGAGAUAAGAAAGAGAACACACGUACCAGCAAGCUGUUUCUAAAGCUCUGAUCAGCUGAGGCAAGAAAAAAAAGAAGUUGAUGGUGGGAGAUUGUGCAAAUUGAACUCCUGAGGAUAUUAAAAAAAAAAGAGUAUUUCCAAAGAUAAGAAGCUGGAAGGCUAUAAAAGAAUGUAUCCAUCCACUAAAUGAUGGGAGUUCAAGAGCUAAAUGAAACAGUUGCCCAGGGAGGUGGUGGAGUCACCAUCCACGGAGGUGUUCUACAACUGUAGGGAUGUAGCACUGAGGGAAAUGGUUAUGGGCAUGGUGGAGGUGGGAUGGGGUUGGUUGGACUCGGGGAUCUUAGUGGUCCUUUCCAACCUUAAUGGUUCUAUGAUUCUACAAUUCGAUGUGGAUCACUGUUUCCUACAGAGGAAUGGAUGGAGGUUUCCAAAUCAAAGCCCUUCUUCAAGAGGGAUGAGAUUGAGAAAUUUUCUCACAAUGAAGAUCAGCAGAGAAGACUUUAAGCUGAAUAAAUAAAAUUAAUGGCAACCAAAUUCCAGUAUGGGAUGGCAUUGACCAAAAGUCCUAGAGAAGGGCUCAGGCAUGAAUUACCCGAUUGCCUGACUGGUUUCAAGCUCAUUGGCCAGAGCAGGCCUGAUACUGAAGGAAUGGAACAAAAAAAUGGAACUAAACAAAGAUAAUGCAAAAUAAUGGCAAUGGAAGCUACAGAUAAGUAGAAAUGGGCUCUGAGCUAUGACAAUUUAAUGAGGAGAUGCUGGCUUCAUUAUGCUGAUCGCUCUGUAGUGCCUCACACGAUGCUCAGAGAUAGUCAAAGGCAAACAGGAGGGAAUGGGGAACAAAUAAAAACAAGUGUUGUGAUGCCAGUGGACAAUCAGCAGUUUCAGUCCUCCCAUCUCAAAAUGGGCACAGCAGUGUGAAAAAAGGUGGAGGACAACAGAAGGGAGUUGGGCUUGGAGCUGCCCUGUGUGUGAGUAGGGUUGGGCUUUGCUGUUUGGAGGGGACACCCAAAAGGGGAUGUGGUGCAGGCCCCCAACCAGCAGCUUUAGAAACUCUUACUGCUGUGGGCAAACUUAUUCAAGGCAGUUUUCUAAUUCAUCACCUUGUGUGCUAAUUUAUAUUUAAUUUUUAUUUCUAUAAAACUGUACUCAAAGGGUGUUAAUGAGCUUAUUAAUAAUGUUUACACGUUAUGGAUAUUGAUAAAUAUAUUCAGAAAAUUAAUGGAUAUUUUUAAUUAAAUAAAACCAGCACUUUAAAAAACUCUUAGCAACUUGGUGGGGUCCCUCACAAAAAUACCCAUUACUUCUGUAAAACCAAAUUAAAAUGCAAUAAUUCUGACAACCUAGAAGAGAAAGGAUAGAGGGGUCUAAGCGACACGCUUGGUGGAUGGAGUGACAGCAGCAUUUGCAUUCCCAGCUCUGCGGGGACAGACAUGAUGAAUUCUGAGCCACGCAGGCAGACACAGUGUGCCCAGACUGACUGCAAAGCUAUGGGCACCCCAGCAGGAAAAGCUGAAGAUGCAGGAUCAGGCCCUGCAAAUUAAACAGACAAACAAACAAAAACCCACAGUCCAUAACAGGGUUCAGCAAGAUGUGAAGUUGUUGAAUUAUCUCAGCCGGGAAACGUCAGGUAGCAUUUCUGAGGAGAGCCCUUUGUGCACAUCGUCCCCGGAGCGAGCAGAGCAGGAGCCAUUUGCAUGAGCACUGCGCUGAGCAGCUGCAGAACGCUGGGCGCAGAGGGCUCGCACCAACCCACGCUCCUGGCGAGGCAGGAUCCCAUCCAGAGCUACAGAUGUGGGCACUGCCACUGCAACAGCACCAAUGAGGAGAGCUGCCUCGUCACUUGCAGCUAUAGACAGGUGGCAUCUUGUGUGCUAGCAAAUGGAUCUGCAGCUUCACCAGAGGAAGAGACACCACAUUUACAUGACACGGAACAAAUCUCUGAACUCAGACGAACUAUUUUAAGAUGGAAUUUAGAAACAAAGGAGAGUGUUGCCCUGACCGUUUCCCAACAGCCUUUCCUGUGGGAUAGAGCUACACGGAACUCUCGGUUAUGGAGCACCACCCAGAGGGCAGAGCGGAGGGAUGCAGAAGUGAGAUGAUCGGGUACGUAAAAAUAGCAGAGAUCCUACAGCAGAUCUUACAUAACCACCAGCAGGUACCGGAUUGUUAUUUAACAGAUGUCGUCAAGAGAAAAAACUGUGAAAAGGAGAUUGCUUUGUCAAGAGAGGAUGUUUAUGGGCACACAGGACCUCUGCACGCAAGCAAAUGUGUCUGUUUUGUUAAUGAUUUAGCACCUCUUAUUUACUCAAACAAACUACAAUGCCAAAAUUUCAUUUUGAGGUUACUGCAUUUUGAUACCACCUUAAAGUAAGCUUUGGCUUUUCAAUACCUGUAUUUGGUUUCAGCUGUAUAGUACAAAGCACCAGUUCUGAAACUGCUUCUAAAUAGCACUUAUUUUUGUAUCAGUUACAGAAAAACUUGGAUUUCAUUUCAGGAACAAUGAGUGUCCUUGUGUCUCACCUGGAUGCACAAGGAAAGGCCCGAGAUUAGCAGAAAGCAUAUAAAAAAAAUGGAUGAUAGUUAGUCAAAAAUGUAAAAAAAAUGCUUAACCUCCUGUAGUCUAAAUCCAAAGGGAUUCGGACACAUGCAUUCCCAUAUACAUUUACUGGAGAGGAAAGGUACAGUCCGAGUACCACCCAGCACACCCACAUGGUUCUAACCUCAACUUUCUGAUUUGCAGCUGUGCUGUAUUACUGUCUCCCCAGGCAUGUCCUGACACUAUGCUAAAGCUAGAGAACAGACAGCAGAAUUUGACUCAUCCAGAAUAUAUAGUAAUAAAUACAGUAAGAGAGACACUCAUUUGGUGUUACAAGCCGAAUAAGGAGAAGAUAAUUGAUUUUAGCAGUGAAAUUAAAGAGAGGUAAAUCCUGUUUACUUGCAUGUCCUCUCAACUACAGCAUUACAGUGAGAGGUGACAGACAAAAGCUGGAACAUGGGAAGUCCAGAUAAGGAAACGAUUUUGGACUACAAGGAUGGUCAGACUGGAAGGGGUUGGGUUGCCCAGAGAGGUUGCCCAACCUUCUUUCCUUCAAGGUGUUCAGACUUGUUUGGUCAAACACAAUAUUUUAGGCCUGCUCUGUGCAGGACGGGGAUUGGGUGACCUCUGGAGGUCUCCCCCAAGAAAAGCAAAACCCUCUCUUUUUUGAGAGGUUUUUGCAAUAUCAAAUGGGCAGAAGCAAUGGGCGGUUGAGUCAAGAGUUGCCAAAGCCAAGCUUUUCAGAGGGUUAAAUGCACUAGGUUAAUCAGACUUAUUUAAUAUUAAGAGUGGUUUUGGUAAGUUAAUUGUACAACGGCACAAGUAUGAGGCAUUUUUUUCUGAGAUUUUUUCCCUGCAGGUUCUCACUUGGAGUAAGAUGCACAUACAGAGAUGCUAUGCUGCAGAACCAGGGUGCUUAUUAGCACCAAGCAAUAUCAGUAAGAGGGUAGAAAGGCAGAACUGAGUCUGUGAAAGUAUGAAAAAUGCACAUGCGUGCAGGAAAUCAAAAUCUCCUGGACCAGCUUCACCUAUGACCCAUAUGUGGAACCUCAACAAGAUCUCUUCCACCACGAUAUUUGUCACAAUUUCCCCCCCUACAUGUUCAGCACUCGUUACCCACCCUUUCAGGCCUUUUACAGAUCUGAAUGCUUUGUGAUAAUCUGCGCUCUGUCUGGGAAGGGCACAUGAGGGAGAGGGAGGUGAUCCUGCAGCAUUUGACAAGUUUGGCCACAGCAGAAUGAGAUUGAUUUUAUUCUAUGGGACAAUGUGUAGAUUAAAGUUUCAUCUAAAGAUUUCCACUCAAAAUGCUUCAAAGGCAUUCCUUUAUUAUUAUUACUAUUACUACUACUAUUACUAUAAUUUAAAAAGAGCAAGCAUGGAAAGAAACUCUCAGUGUAGCUUCUUCCUCAAAGCAUCUCUGCUUCUGAGUACAUCUGUUGUUCACCAGCAAAGACUGUUGCAUCACUACGCUCCUCUCCAGCACUAAGUGCCACUGCUGCUGUUGGCAUUUAUAUAACAGAAUUCUGCUUCGGAGAAACAUGAAUAAGCACUAGCAUCAAAUCUGGCUUUCACUAGGAGAUUUACUACUGCUGUCCAGCAUGAUGCUUCUUGGAUGCAGAGGAUCCAGAAAGAGAUGAGUCAUGGAGCUGCAGAUCUGUGUGCAGCUGCAGUGCGCUGUGACACGGAGCUCCCAGGGAAUGAAAGGUGCACCUGAAGAUGGGCGUUACUCACCAGGAAGAUGAUUCCUUAAGGGGAGAGCUCAAGAGAAGCAGGAAGAGCUAUUGAUCGCAAUGUUUUGAGCAACCCUAGGGGAUCAUAGAGCAACUGAGAGAAUGUUAACGAUAUGAAGCUGUGGAGCCACAGGAUCAGCAACACAGGAAGAAGGCUGGGGGUCACUGCGGAGAUGGAAAUCCCAGCCCUAAUUGCUCUGAAGGAGCCUGGCGAAGGGAAGCUAUCCAAUGGCUGCUCUGGGCACAACUAAUGAGCUGUUUGUGUUCUGAAUGCAGGCUGUGGUCUGUACACCCAUACUCUGCAGCACAUAGCUAACAAAUAGCUGCGUAGUUACUAAUGUGCUCCUUUCUUGUUGAUGCAUGAAUCAGCCCAGGCUUCAACAAGGGCACAGCCUUUGCAUUAAGGAGCACCUCUGAGUUUUGAGCUGUGAGAACCUGUAUGUAUAAGCACCUACGCAUGCAGCAAGGCUUCCAGUGCAAAUGGUGUGGGAAGGACACACACAACAGACAGCCGAGUUUCGUUUGGGAACACUUUCUAUCUUGGCUUUCAAUUUGAGAGCCCAUUUCAGUUCCUGUAGGAAUUCCCAUUGGCUCUAGAUAGGCCCUAAAAGAAUAAUCCUGCCUUUUUGUGGUGGUUCAGCUCAUAUGCUACUGCCUCCAAGCUCAAAUAAAAGCAAAUUGUGAGGAGAAAGGUUCUGCAACACAUCAGCCAAGGGGGGCCAAAGAAACAUGCCAUAUCCAUUAAGAAUAUAUUAGGUAACUGUUACCACUAGAAAACAGGGGGACCUGGUGCUACACAAUGUUUACGGUGAUGUGUUUUCUCCUGACACAGAAUUAAAUUUAGCUCAGAAAGAUUGAUGUACACUUUCGAAACAUAUUACAAUACACUAUCUACGUUCUUCCUUUGCAUUCCUAGCAUACAUAAUAAGAUGAGCUCGCAAUUAUCAGUUCUGAAGACAGGAAAGAAAAAUAUUACUUCUAAAGAUACAGAAUAUCAGAAGGUUCUUUUCCUGGAAGGUAAUUUGUUUCCAGAACUAUCCUACACCGGAACUCCCACAGGAAUAGCAGGACUAACUUCAAAGGCUUGGGUGUCACACUGGAAGAGUUGUUACUAAUGGAAAGCCCCUAGAGCUGAGGUAACAGCUUAGGAAGGUGGCUCCCCACAUCUCUUUAAGUGAUAACCAUGAAUCUGCCUUAUAAAAAAAUCCAAGGGCUAUGAUGGUAAGCAGGGAUGCUUUAUUUAUUUAUUUAGGUUAUUUAAAUUCUCAUUAGCAGCUUGAGAGCAUUGGAGGACAAAGAAGAAAAUGAAGUCUAUGCCUCAGCCAGCAAAUCCAAGUGCCUGACACAAACAACUUCCACACCUGUAUUAAGGUGUAGGCAAGUCAUGUAGAGCAGCUGGAUGUCACACAUCUGACUCGUUCUGGUAUCCUGAAACAUCCUGAAAGUGGGCUGCCAGCAGGAUGGGCUGCAUCCUUGUGGUAACAGCAGGAAGAACUCUGAAAUAGCACUCCACAGUGUCUAGUCAUGCAUAUACACUAUAAAUACAUGUGAAAAUGAAUUUAUUCUUAAUGUUUCAACUGCAUCAAUUUACUAUGAUUCAGCUCUUGGUAUUCAAAGCAUGAAGAUGAGUCGUCUUAUUCUUUUAUUUUUCAGUUAUGACAGUGAUUGUUACCCUGACAAGGCUCACAAAAUUCUAUCACCAAACAUCAGGUAUUUAUGGCAGCAAAACACAAUUGUAUGUUAAGGAAUGCUGUCUAUUCCCCUAAUAUUUUAGCAAGUUAUUGCUGAAGUGAAAUACAUUUCUGAAGCUUGGACAGGAUACUUCUGGAAAAAUUACUUGUUUCCCUCAAGAACGUCUAUGGAGAUUGAUAUUGCACAGUAUUUUCUUUGAAGAGAACAGGUGUGGCAUCAUCCAUGUCUUUAUUUCCUGGACACUGGGAGGAAAUAAUUGUGAUUCAGCUCCUGAAGCACUCACUGUGAGCUAAGACAAGCGCAGGAGCUGGGCUCGAUGAUCCUUGUGGAUCCCCUCCAACUCGGGCUCUUCUAUGAUGACAAGAAACACCUCAUUUAGCAAAGCCACCGCAGCCCAAUUUCUUAUCUAUCACAUUGCCUUGCCUCUGUGGUAUACUGGGGAACACGAGAGCAGCCCCAUUGAAAUACUGUGAGGCGCUGAUGAUGACGUGUGUCACGUAUUGAUGGCUGUAAGUCCCCAUUUACAUUAAUAGAGCAUGAGGGUACUCCCUGGGCAUCUGUAAUUAAAAUUGUUGUCUUGAGGACCUCUGUGUUUACGGCAGAAUUCUCAUUUAUGCUAUGAGAAGGGUGCCCCAAACCCAGCACUCUGCCUGGAGCCCCUUUGUGUUUGUGGCAGUCAGUGUGAGGGGCGCAAGGACACUACUGAGCGCCCAAAAUCCGGCAUUCUGCCUGUGUUUUCGGCAGAUUAAACAGAUCUUCUUCAGAGGAAACAACUCCACGAGCACAACUGAAGUUUAUUUCCUGCGCCUUCAGUGCGUUACACGCUAAUAAAAUCGAACAAAACGCUUCCCCCGGCCUUCUUCUUCCAGCCGGGCCCUUCAGCAGAGCAGCCAACGCACCCGCGGCCCUCGCCCUGCCCCUUCCCACCCCCAGCAGAACGCCGCUCAGCUUCGCCCUUUUCCCCGCGGCGGAGCUGAGGCCGCUCGGUUUUCUCGCGCUUUCCACACGCAGACGCAGGGGUCUCCCGCCCGCAGGCUGCCGGGGCCCACA